GGCCAGGUGGCUGAGUGGUUCAGUAGGUACGUCUGCUGAUGGUUCGCAAUAACUUCUGUAUCUCAUGUGGGUUCGAUUCCCACCCUGGCCG